rnacentral:rRNA from 1 species
UACGGAGGGUGCAAGCGUUAUCCGGAUUUACUGGGUUUAAAGGGUGCGUAGGCGGCUUCUUAAGUCAGUGGUGAAAUCCUAGUGCUUAACACUAGAACGGCCGUUGAUACUGGGAGCUUGAGUCAAGGAGAGGUAAGCAGAAUUUAUGGUGUAGCAGUGAAAUGCUUAGAUACCAUAAGGAAUACCAAUAGCGAAGGCAGCUUACUGGCCUUGUACUGACGCUGAGGCACGAAAGCGUGGGGGAGCAAACAGG